AUGAGCGCUGGCGGCGUACCUAAUACAUGCAAGUCGAGCGAACGGACGAGAAGCUUGCUUCUCUGAUGUUAGCGGCGGACGGGUGAGUAACACGUGGAUAACCUACCUAUAAGACUGGGAUAACUUCGGGAAACCGGAGCUAAUACCGGAUAAUAUUUUGAACCGCAUGGUUCAAAAGUGAAAGACGGUCUUGCUGUCACUUAUAGAUGGAUCCGCGCUGCAUUAGCUAGUUGGUAAGGUAACGGCUUACCAAGGCAACGAUGCAUAGCCGACCUGAGAGGGUGAUCGGCCACACUGGAACUGAGACACGGUCCAGACUCCUACGGGAGGCAGCAGUAGGGAAUCUUCCGCAAUGGGCGAAAGCCUGACGGAGCAACGCCGCGUGAGUGAUGAAGGUCUUCGGAUCGUAAAACUCUGUUAUUAGGGAAGAACAUAUGUGUAAGUAACUGUGCACAUCUUGACGGUACCUAAUCAGAAAGCCACGGCUAACUACGUG
rnacentral:rRNA from 1 species